CCUACGGGAGGCAGCAGUGAGGAAUAUUGGUCAAUGGACGAGAGUCUGAACCAGCCAAGUAGCGUGAAGGAUGACUGCCCUAUGGGUUGUAAACUUCUUUUAUAUGGGAAUAAAAUGUUCCACGUGUGGGAUUUUGUAUGUACCAUAUGAAUAAGGAUCGGCUAACUCCGUGCCAGCAGCCGCGGUUAUACGGAGGAUCCGAGCGUUAUCCGGAUUUAGUGGGUUUAAAGGGAGCGUAGGUGGAUUGUUAAGUCAGUUGUGAAAGUUUGAGGCUCAAACGGAAGAUUGCAGUUGAAACUGGCAGUCUUGAGUACAGGAGAGGAGGGCGGAAUUCGUGGUGUAGCGGUGAAAUGCGUAGAUAUCACGAAGAACUCCGAUUGCGAAGGCAGCUCACUGGACUGCAACUGACACUGAGGCUCGAAAGUGUGGGUAUCAAACAGGAUUAGAUACCCGAGUAGUC
rnacentral:rRNA from 1 species